rnacentral:lncRNA from 1 species
GCGGGCUUCAACCAUGGCUUCAACUGUGCAGAGGCCAUCAAUUUUGCCACUCCACGAUGGAUUGAUUAUGGCAAAGUGGCUUCACAGUGUAGCUGUGGGGAGGCGAGGGUGACCUUUUCCAUGGACGCCUUCAUGCGCAUCUUGCAACCAGAGAGCUAUGGGCUCUGAAAAUGCAGCGCUACGCCCAAGAUGCCAAGGCUGCCAUGGACAGGGAGGUGCUGGACGGAUGCUAGCUGAGGGUGCAGGUGGCGCACUAUGGCCGCCGCUGGGACGAGGCGCUGGGACCUGCCCCGCAGCCGCCAGGGAGUGCCACGUGGCAGGUCCGCGGGAUACACACCCUACUUGUCAACGCACCCUACUUGUACUUUGGCACAUGGAAGACCACGGAGGGCGGCGGCUACGGACGGCGCAGCUGCAGCUCUAGGGGGCGACACCGCAGCCGCAGCUCUAGGGGGCGACACCGCAGCCGCAGCUCUAGGGGGCGACACCGCAGCCGAUCCCGAGGUCCCAGCUGCUCCACGUCCAGCAGUCUCUGCUUACAGACGAUCUCGCUACAGCCGAUCUGCCUACAGGAUUCCUACUCCAGUAUCCAGGAGGGAAUCCAAAUCCAGGUCGCUAUCCAGGAGUCCUCCCAAGUCUGAAGGGGAAGGACAAGUAUCCUCCUAGGAAAAUGGUCAACAGCUAAAGCGUGAUAGAGGACUUGGGGAAAAGGACGGCACACUCAGUCCAUG